rnacentral:RNase_P_RNA from 2 species
GCCCUCGCCAACGCUGCGUUUCUUUGCUCACAAACAGACACCGGGUUCCGCCCGGCUGUCACCGCGUGCAAAUGAGAAAUUCGGAGUAAUCUUCAACUUCACCUGCCAUCGCUGGGCUCGCCCCGGCGCUCUGGCCGCUGCCCGUGAGGGCCUGGCGUGAACACGCCUGCUCCUGGCAUCAGAAAACUCAGGGCCAGCCGGCAGCACCGCCUUCGGGUGGUGCUUGCGCAGGUCUGUACCCCUAUGGGAGUCAGGGCGAAGAUUGUGUGCGUGCGCAAGCAUGUGACACUUCAGUGCAAUACGCGGCAUACCGUAUUCCGGUAUCAUUCGAUUCCGAUUACUCUGGCGAGGGC